UACAGAGGUCUCAAGCGUUGUUCGGAUUCAUUGGGCGUAAAGGGCGCGUAGGCGGCGGGGUAAGUCGGGUGUGAAAUCUCAGAGCUCAACUCUGAAAUGGCACUUGAUACUGCUCUGCUAGAGGACUGGAGAGGAGAUUGGAAUUCACGGUGUAGCAGUGAAAUGCGUAGAUAUCGUGAGGAAGACCGGUGGCGAAGGCGGAUCUCUGGACAGUUCCUGACGCUGAGGCGCGAAGGCCAGGGAGCAACGGG
rnacentral:rRNA from 1 species